rnacentral:misc_RNA from 1 species
UGGCCUCAUCGAAAAUAGAUAAUUACAAGAACAACAAAUUUUCAACUUAAAUAAAAUGAUCUUCUAUUCAUAAUGAUAAACAUUGGCAGAUGCUGUUGGCGCAUACCCAAUAGCUAUAUCCAAAAGAAUACUAAAGCAGCAGAGGAAAUGAAAUAUUUGUUUACCAUCAACACCAAGAGACUAGAAGAGCCAGGUUUCAGGAUCAUAUAAUAUGGCAACCAAAGCUAAAAAGCCCCACACCAUGAGGACACCAAUCACAGCAGUUCUCCACAUGUGGUCCCAGUUCUCAAUUACGGGAACAUCAGCCUCAAAAUUCAGAUGUGGUGAGGGCAGAUCCUCACCAUCACCAACAAAUUCUGUUGAAUCUACCCUGCCGAUCUCAUUUAUGGCCUGUGGCUGUCGCAUGGCAUGGAUUCUAAUGUUUGAACAUAUGUUGCAAGUGCAGUUGCCACCUAGAUAUGAUGGGAGAUUCUGAAGAUAAUCGAAAAUAACCCUGUGGUACUUCUUUCCCUCAAUUCUCAACUUCUUUCGAGUGAUGGGUUUCAGAACUUGAAUAAAAGUUUGAGCAAUAACUCGAACAACCGGAGGAAGCCGUAUAACAAGCAAAUGGCCAAGACGAUUGGGGAAGUUAUCUUGCAGGAGCAAAGAACAGGAUCUCAUCAUCUGCAUAGGAAGUCUCAAUGGUGAUAUCCCAUCACAAUCCACAAGAACUGUAAUCUGAGGAUUAUCCUUGCUAACCAAAUGAAGAACUCCAUGCUCUACCUGAGAGAUGACUGCUUGUGCAAAGCGAGGUCUCUCAUGAAAUGGCAAAUUGAGGCAAGCUAGUCCAAGGCGUACAAUGAGGCAAGGCCUGUUCUCCACAUCAAAUCCAUGCCAGAAAACCAUAUUUGACCACAUAUCAAGCUCUUGUUCUGAAAGAAUUCUGUAAGUCUCCCUCCAACGGAUUGUCUUCUUAAUUGAUGAUAAGAAGCAUGAUAAAUCCCCAUUUGCAGCAGCAAAAAAUCUAUGGAGCUCAUCCUCAUUAAUUCUUUCUGGUAACGUCAUGCCUUGGUUUUCUAGCUCUUUUAGGAGUUGCAUCAACCAAUUUUCAGAUUCAAUACUUUGAGCAUUCUCAUCAGUAGUCCUUGUAUCGAGAGAAGAAUGCACAAGGGAUGACUCAGACUGUAUUUCUGAAUGGGCUUGAGAAUCACUGACAUCAUUUGAGGUUUCAAUAUCGCUGUCUGAUUGUUCAGAGAAUGCUGUUGCAACUGAUAAGAGUAAUAAAGGCCUUGAGAACAUCUGCAUGCCUUUGACCAAACUGUUCAAGGGACCCCAUCUCUGAAUCCACUUAAAAGGUGGAUAGCAAAGAACUUGCAAAGCCUGAAGACCACGCCAUAGAGGGGGACACUUGGACCUGGAAACUCUUCGUACUGUCUCUAAGGCAGCAACUUUAAGUACAAAAAUUGCUGCAUGACCAACUGCACCUCCGCCAUUUUUACUAUAGCCCAGUGAAGCUAUGAGUUUAUAAGCACUCUGUGGAAAUGGUUUAGGAUCAGAAGUACCUAAAUUUCUCUUAUAAACCUUUUUCCUAGCAGCAACAGAUGUUGCUUCAGAAUUCCCACUUAAACCAGAACUGUAAGGUGGCUCUCCCAUGGAAAUUGAUUAAAAAAUUACCUCUAAAUUCACAUUCUCAGCCAACUAAGAGUGAUGGUCACACAUACUUUAUUUUUAACUAGCAGCAGCUACCUCC